AUGUUGGAGUCUUGAUUCCAUCCCAUACCUGCCCUCUCUGAUAGGGGGUUGUUCAGGGGGAGCUGCCUGAUGUUUUGAGCAAGGAUGGUAGACUAGGAGGGUGGGGGACGGGAGAGAGGGGCAGCUCUGGAGGGUAGUUUGAAGGCUUCUUGGAGCGAUGAGCGAUUGAACUUUAAGAAAUCUCUGGACUAAACUCCAUAAUGGCUAUAUCCAUUUACAUUCCCAGCAACAGUACAAGAGGGUUGCCUUCUCUCCACAUCCUCUCCAGCAUUAAUGGUUUGUAGGCUUUUUUUAACGAUGGCUGUUCUGACCGGUAUGAGGUGAGAACUUCAUCGUGGUUUUGAUUUGCCUUGCUCUAAUAAUAAGCAAUGUUGAGGUUUUUUUUUUUUUUUUUUUUUUUUUUAAUGUGUUUAUUAGUCAUCCGUAUAUCUUCUUUGGAGAAGAGAUUGAACUUUAAAAAGAGAGUAAGGGGGUGGAGGGCCUGGACACUUGUUCCAGAGGAGUCUGAAAAGUGCCAAGCUGGCUGAGCCUGGGGUGUGGAAACGCUGAUAAGGCAGCCUGAUUGCAGGGAGGAUGUGGUUCCAGGGGAGAUAAGAGCGGGGGCGGUGAUUUUUUCAAACGGUAGCCUCAGGUCACCCGCUGGUUUCUGAGAGGCCCAGUUGGUUGCCAAUCUUGGCACCCACUCGCCCCCACCGCUAGCGUCUGAUAUUCAGUGUGCCUUUCCUGAUAAAGCCUUUCACCUCAGCCUUCAUCCCGCCAUGGAGUAGGGGUGGUUAUCCGCAUUCCCAGGGAGGAAUCCUGCACCCGACAAAGGGCUUUACAUGUCAGGACAAGACCAGGAUUUGUCAUCCAGCCCCCAGUGAGCCGAGAAACACUGCCAAAGAGCUGCUGGAAGGCUGUUUCCACAGCACGGGGACCACAGAGCUGCCUUCCGGCCAGUCCUGAGCUUGAGCCAAACAGGUGGAUUGCUCUGUUGGAAACACCUCCUGGGGUGGUGAGUAUAAUACUUCUUCUCUCCUUGGGUCCUGGGAUAUCAGGAUACCUUUUCCCUCUCGUUGCUUUUUUCUAAAUGUUCCUGUUUGAUCCAGGCAAGGUCUGAUGGGUCUUAAGAAUGCAUGAAUAUCAAGCACUUGGAGAACUUAAUAAAAGGCAGAUUUCUGAGGUCCCA
rnacentral:lncRNA from 1 species